rnacentral:lncRNA from 1 species
UAAACUUCCAAUUUUACCCCUCCACUGUUAAACUUAACUGAGAAAAUAACGGAAUUGGGGGCGUGGUGCAAAAAUGUCAAUUUUUUUGGGUGCGCAGUGCAACAAGUCAAAUUUGUUGGGGACGCGGUGAAAAAUGUCAAUUUAUUUGGGGGUAGGUUACAAAUUUCCCUAAGAUUAUAUCUAUUGUGAUGUAUCAAAACUGAAAUAACAAUGUUGACUUCAUAAUGAAAGUUGAUGUUAAUAUGUUAUAGUUACAUCUUUAAUUACAAAAUUAAAUUAAGAAACAAUGAUAGUAUAUAUUUUUUAAUGUUAUCAAACUAAUUAACUUGUUAAUCUUCUUAAUUGUGAAGGGCAAAUAUAUGUCCCGCUUAAAAAGAUAUUUGUGUCAAACUACUAACUUUUAAAAUUUUAUAUUGAUAUGUUGAAAAAAAAGAAAAACAAACAUGCUAUUUAGAUAUUUAUAUUCAGAACUAUUCAGAUUUUGGUUAAGUUUAAACUUAUUUAGAUUUCGAAUAAGAAAAAAUAAGUAACCUUGGACUUACCAUUUGUAGGUUUUAGUUAAUUUUGUUUUCUUUUAAUUUUUGUUCAUUUUUACAAAUGCUGUUGUUCUAUAUUUCAGUUUUUUCGUGGUUCAAAUUUUUUAAACCGAAAUUGUAUUGAUUAUUAAACCAAAUGGCUUAGUUUGGUUGAAUUAUACUUCUAUCCUUAUGAGUCCAUGUAUACAUACAGAUCUAUCCCACCGCUUUGUUAUCCUAAGCCCACUUGAAUUUGUAUUUUAUUUUACUCAUUCAUUCAUUUAUUUAUUUUUUAAUAUGACUACUCAAUUAGUUACAAUAAACCAAUAAUAUAAUUUAGAAGCUAACAGAUGCAAUCCCAAUUUUAAGCUCCAACAAUCCUGGUUCAUGGUAAAGACAUUGCAGAAAAUAUCUAUGUGUAGGAACUUGUUCAUAUGUUAUUGAAGUUGGAUUUAUUAAUAAUUAAUAUUAUUCUUAUUGCAUCAUAUUCACAGGCGAGCUUCUCAAUAUGGCACGGUGGCUCCCCCCUCGGCCAAGAGAUAAACAUAAACUUGACGCUGUGUAUGAGUCCAAGACUGCCACCCAAUGUGUCAGUCAGAGAAGCAUUUAAAACAAACAGAUCAUCAAUUCAUCAUCUUUGUUUAGUGAGAACCGUUCGAUUAGCAUCCAAUGCUCUACUCCGCAGGAUCCCGUACUUUGUCCUUCGAAUCGACGUGUGUGCAUUGACAAUUACAUAAAACUGGAAAAAAUCAUAAAAAUAAAAAGAAAAUAAAUUUAGGUAGUGUUUAUUUU